CCUACGGGAGGCAGCAGUGGGGAAUUUUGGACAAUGGGCGAAAGCCUGAUCCAGCAAUGCCGCGUGCAGGAUGAAGGCCUUCGGGUUGUAAACUGCUUUUGUACGGAACGAAAAAGCUUCUCCUAAUACGAGAGGCCCAUGACGGUACCGUAAGAAUAAGCACCGGCUAACUACGUGCCAGCAGCCGCGGUAAUACGUAGGGUGCGAGCGUUAAUCGGAAUUACUGGGCGUAAAGAGCUCGUAGGCGGUUUGUCGCGUCUGCCGUGAAAGUCCGGGGCUUAACUCCGGAUCUGCGGUGGGUACGGGCAGACUUGAGUGAUGUAGGGGAGACUGGAAUUCCUGGUGUAGCGGUGAAAUGCGCAGAUAUCAGGAGGAACACCGAUGGCGAAGGCAGGUCUCUGGGCAUUAACUGACGCUGAGGAGCGAAAGCAUGGGGAGCGAACAGGAUUAGAUACCCUGGUAGUCCAUGCCGUAAACGUUGGGCACUAGGUGUGGGGGACAUUCCACGUUUUCCGCGCCGUAGCUAACGCAUUAAGUGCCCCGCCUGGGGAGUACGGCCGCAAGGCUAAAACUCAAAUGAAUUGACGGGG
rnacentral:rRNA from 1 species